GCUGUGAUGAAGGAGGCCUUCCAGAACGCUUACCUGGAGCUUGGGGGGUUGGGAGAAAGGGUUUUGGGUUUCUGCCACUUUUACCUGCCCGAGGAGCAGU